UCGUGGUGCACAUACAUUUAAGUGCCCGAAUUUAGGAAUAACUAGUUGGUCUAGGCUGCCAAUCCAUGAUGCUGAUUUUGGCUGGGGUAGGCCUAUAUUUAUGGGACCUGGUGGUAUUGCUUAUGAAGGUUUAAGCUUUAUAUUGCCAAGUCCUACAAAUGAUGGCAGUCAAUUGUUGGAUUGCGUAUAGGUGUUCGUAACACGCAGUGGAAGACAAUAACAAUCCAAGGUAGAUUUUCUCAUGUUUAAAAUUUAUUUACGUGUCAAAGAACGGAUCAAAUACGUACCUGGUGAAGAAAGUCUCGUUUCAAAAUUCUUCGAUAGUGCGAAGACUCUAUGCGUAU
rnacentral:lncRNA from 1 species